GGCGGGCCCGGGCGGUUGCCAUGGUAACGGAGGCGGCCGGGCCUGAGGCAGGAAAAGCGGGAAAAGGACCCGAUCCUUUAGCCCCACCCCCGAGCUCUGAUUGGUCCAUUCUCUUCCUGUGGCCCCGCCCACCUCUCCCCUACACGGCCUCCCAUUGGUCAGCGGGGAAGGCGGGAACCGGAAACCGCCGCUUCUGAUUGGCUGAGCAGAGAGCGCGGGAAAGCGGCGGCGGGGGCGCCUUCCCGGCGUGCACCGCGCGGGGGAACUGGGAGGGACUGGGGGGAGUUGGAAGGUCGCCGAUGGCCGAGCCCCGCCCAGGCCCUCCCAGUGCCUCCCAGUGCUCCCAGUUCCCCCUUCCCAGUCACUCCCAGUGCUCCCAGUUCCCCCCUCCCAGUAUGGGGGGGCUCAUCCCCCCCUCCCACUUCGUGCUGCGCUCCAGGUCUCUGGGGGCGGAGCUUGAUUCAGGAAAGGGGCGUGGCCAUGAUGUGGAGGCAGAGCUUGAAGCAGAAAAGGGGCGGAGCCAGCGAAUGGAGGCAGA